rnacentral:lncRNA from 1 species
CACAGUGGUGUGAGCAAAACAGAAGACACACUGAAUAGCAGGGGAUAGGUUGCUUAUCCCUUGGUUCUGCCAAUUGCCUCUUCACUUAGGAGGUCUUUGACUCUGUACAAGGACAAUUUAAACAUACACAAACAUUGCCUCUUAAGGAGGACUUCAGACAGUUGCCUGGCCAAGUAACAGGCCAGGUCUUCCAGACUACAUGAAGAAAAAGGAAUUAUAC